CCCAGCUGCAAUUUGAUUGUCCGCGUAUUUUAAAGAAGAUAUUAACUGAAGUCACCAUGAACAACGGUGAUUAUCUUCAAUACACAUUUAAAAACAGUCCCUUGAAGAAAAUUGAUAUUAAAAAUCUCGGUGUGGUGCCCACCAGCUACGGGAUAUUGGUAUUUAACGAUAAACGUCUCGCAUUGCCCGUCCUUACGCCACCUUUACUCCACCUUUACCCAACACCGCUGCGGAGUUUUCAGUAUUUCAAGCAUCUUUCUGAGAGAAGGACAAUGCGGUUAAACUGGAUUUAGCUAGCUAGCCAGAUUGACAGCAGACAAGCGGAGAGAACAGUCUUGGGCACAGCUUUAAAGAGGGAGCAAGGUCUACUAACAAGUGAGGGGAAAACUACAAUAGAAACACCAUCAUCUUCGACAGACCAGGGUUUUUCCUGCCAAGAGAAGGUUUUGGCGCCCUCCAAAGAGGUUUAUCGCCAGCGCCAAAGAAAAAUCACCGGUGCCAAAACGUCUGAUUUUCAGCAGCCAGCCUCCCUCUCAUCCACAGCUGAUAUAUUUUACACAUGCGGCUGGCGCUGAAAAGGCUGAUCUGCGCUGAACUGCAUUGUUUUGAAUGGAACUGAACACUCCGCUGUGAAGCUAGCGCUAACGGGAUCUCUGUUUGCGGAUUUCAGGCUGUACCGGAGCUCCGACUGCUGUCUGUCCGCGCGGCUGUCUGACGGCAUUAGUAUUAAAUUGAGACAGUUUCAUGACCGGUUAAAAACGUCUCUUAGUCGUGUUAAAUAGUAGUCCAAUUCGGUGUUUUGGUACAGUUGGUUUUAACACCUGAUGUGAAGUGUAGGCCUACGGGAGUACACAUGAAAACCCUGAACAAGUGGCGUUGUUCCGCGCCGUCUUUCUGCUGUGCCCCAUUCAUGUAGUGUCACUUUUUCACUAUGAAGGUUAAACUCUGCAAUUCACUGCGGUUCACAUGUAUGCAUGAACUGUGGUGGUCCGUUGGUCUGUAGGCUCAACAUUACUUAUCAUUCUUUGUCAAUAUAAUUUAGAAAACAUUACACUUCAUAACGUUUUGUAUCCAUAACAUGAUUGGGUUAUUGCACAAAUUAGCAGUAAAAGCAGUAGCCUAUGUAGGUCAAUACUAAAUUUUUCAACUUGGGAGCAAAACGUGCUCCUGGGGAAAGAAAUUGACCAUAAGCCCUGUUCAUAUGCGUACUGAUUAAACAACUGGACUUUGAUAUUCCAAUAUAUUUUGUAUUUUGAAUUGUUACCUGCCACCAGAAUUUUGUGAUUUCCUUUCCAUAAAUAUAGCCGUUUUUACAAUAAAUUGGUGCCUAAAAACGUAUCAGAAUGCAGGAAUUGAAGUCUUUUAC